GAACGACGCUGGCGGCAUGCCUAACACAUGCAAGUCGAACGAGACCUUCGGGUCUAGUGGCGCACGGGUGCGUAACGCGUGGGAACCUGCCUUUAGGUUCGGAAUAACUCAGAGAAAUUUGAGCUAAUACCGGAUAAUGUCUUCGGACCAAAGAUUUAUCGCCUUUAGAUGGGCCCGCGUUGGAUUAGCUAGUUGGUGGGGUAAAGGCCUACCAAGGCGACGAUCCAUAGCUGGUCUGAGAGGAUGAUCAGCCACACUGGGACUGAGACACGGCCCAGACUCCUACGGGAGGCAGCAGUGGGGAAUAUUGGACAAUGGGCGUAAGCCUGAUCCAGCAAUGCCGCGUGAGUGAUGAAGGCCUUCGGGUUGUAAAGCUCUUUUACCUACGACGAUGAUGACGGUAGUAGGAGAAUAAGCCCCGGCUAACUUCGUG
rnacentral:rRNA from 1 species